rnacentral:rRNA from 1 species
CACUAUGGGGAGCCCAUAAACAUAACUGAUCUCAUUGGAUCUUAGAAGACAAGCAGAGCUGGGCCUACUUAGUACUUGGAGGGAGACAACCAGGAAUCUCCAGCCAGUGC